AACGAACGCUGGCGGCGUGCUUAACACAUGCAAGUCGAGCGAAGCACUUUGGAAAGAUUCUUCGGAUGAUUUCCUUUGUGACUGAGCGGCGGACGGGUGAGUAACGCGUGGGUAACCUGCCUCAUACAGGGGGAUAACAGUUAGAAAUGACUGCUAACACCGCAUAAGACCACAGUGCCGCAUGGUACAGUGGUAAAAACUCCGGUGGUAUGAGAGGGACCCGCGUCUGAUUAGGUAGUUGGUGGGGUAACGGCCUACCAAGCCGACGAUCAGUAGCCGACCUGAGAAGGUGACCGGCCACAUUGGGACUGGGACACGGCCCAGACUCCUACGGGAGGCAGCAGUGGGGAAUAUUGCACAAUGGAGGAAACUCUGAUGCAGCGACGCCGCGUGAAGGAUGAAGUAUUUCGGUAUGUAAACUUCUAUCAGCAGGGAAGAAAAUGACUGUACCUGACUAAGAAGCCCCGGCUAACUACGUGCCAGCAGCCGCCGUAA
rnacentral:rRNA from 1 species